CUACCUUCAGCACAACCUUUAGGAUGAGAAGGCUCUUGCUUCAGUUUAUUAACUGUAUUGAGCAGAGCACCUCUCUGACAACAAUAAAAAGAAUUCAAGCAGAUAAUCAGGAAUCACUGAAAAAAUUAUCAAACCUCUAAAUCAACCUGCAACUACUGGAGCUCAGAGAGGUGGGGGAGAAGCAUGCUUGGAAAGAACAUGGCAAAGGAAGACAGGAAUAUAAACUGGCUUUUCUUCAGACUUUCGUCAGUGUGUGUCCUUCAUGAAAACCAUGAGAUGAAGCCUUUGGAAGACUUCAUGGGUAGAAAGGGACUCAUGGCAUCUGAUUACUGAUCAUGAUCCAGGCAGGCUGGGGACAAGAUGAGCAUCUUGACCUCUUGGAAACAAACCCAGCCAAAAUGGAGCCAACGGUACAAAACUCCAUUUGUGGGACAGCAAAAGUCCUUCCUGGCCUUUUUGGGAAGAUGGCAUUGCUGAACUGAAGAAGAGAAAUUAAUCUCAGAAGACUUGAUGGGAAGCAGAGACCUCUGCAGUCCACUGCCAAGGGGUGGAGUCCACUGCAGUCCACUCCUUCACAUCCCUUUACUCUAAUCCACUUCCCAUGGUGUCUGUGUUGACAUGUGUGUCCCAAUUGGACAACCUGAAAGAAAUUUCCAUGUCUCCAUAGACCAGCACUAUGCAUCCUUCAGUAAGAUAAGGGCAUGCAGGUAUGUUUGCAUACAGGCAUUUUGUUAACCUGGUAAUAUUACUGCCUACACUUCAGAAAUGCCUGGCCAUUCAGAAAUUCACAGGCCACAGGUAGAACACCGUACUAUUUACAUGCUACCAAGGCUACUCAGUUUAUCCCAAGACCCAUUCUUAUGCAGAGCUACAUCACUACUAUAAAAUUUACCUUUAAAGUUGGGGCCGUGCACACAUGCUUCCAAGAUCCAGUCUCCUCCCUGCAGCAAACACCACACCAGCCCCAGCAUAUCAAACAAGCAUGUACUGUCUACAAUGCGAAAAAGUCAGCAGAACAACAUUGGGACCCCCAGAAUUUUUGUUUAUGGGAAUAUGGAAGAUUUUAUGUAUCUGGGACCUUGGAGAGAUUUUAUAAAAAUUUAUUCAAGGUCUGGAUAUGGACAGUGGUUUGCUUUGGAUAGCUCUGCUCUGGAGACAGUAAAUUAGCUGUCCAGACUAAACCUGGAUUUUAGUUUCAAAAUAUCCAGCUUGGAAGUCCUCUUGCUCACUCCAUUUCCACACAUCAUGCUAUAGUGUUGCACAAGUGUGAGUCAGAGCGAACACUGAUCCCAAGCAGCUCAGCAUGAUCAUCCACUGAUCCUCAUUCAGUUCAGCAAAGGAAUGAUGUUGUAGGCAAGGACGAAAGAAACCAAAUUUUAUUUACUUUGGGGGAAAAAGGGGGGAAAAAAGUGGUGAACACAUGCCGUGUUUUCAAGGACCUGUCCUUUCAGAUUGAGGUAAUCAGAAUGAAAACCAUCUGAUCAAAUCUAGAGAAGUCUACAUACCUGUGCUGUAAAUUCCUUGGGGGAAUUUAAGAUCCAAAACUAUUUCUGUGUUUUAAAAAUAUCUGCCUAUGUGUUUCCUGGGGAGAAGACUGUGGACUGACCCUACCACAAUUCAAAUCAGCAAUGACACUUCAGAAUUGGGUACACUGUGAGAAAAAAUAAAUGCCACCGGCAGCACAGAGACAUGAGUCGGACAGAGACAAUUCAAAAGAUAACUUCAUUGUUUUCUGCAAGCCAUGAGCAUUUCCAUUCAAGAAAUGCUUGGUUCUCAAAAACAGGUUUUGCAUGGACUUACUCUGUGGAUGUUAAUUGUUGCCUGAAAAUGGCAUUUUCCAAAUAUCUUUGUUCCCAUUAUUUACCAUCUCUCAGCAUUUACAAAUGUCAGUGGAGAAGAAUUACUCAUGAGUUCAGCACUUUCUGGGGAGUUUUUUUCUUCAGCUGAGUUGACUGGGAUAGAGGUUUUGUUUUAUUUGGCUUUUCUUCUUCCCUAAAAAUUGCCUUUGGUAGGUGAUAUUCUAAAACACAGGCUGUCUGGUAGGAGGAAGUCAUGACUGAGCAUCAUCAGAUAAUGAGCUCCUCAAAAUCAAAACAAUCAGCAGAAGCAUCACUUUUUGUGAAUUUAGUCUGAAUUUGGUGUGACCUCAUGCAGCCAGAAGGUUUGCAUGAAGUGUGAAGGGAGAUGCCACAUAAACAAGAGGUGCCUUCUUGAGCUGCAGCUACCAGAAAAUUUUCAAGUAAUGCCUCAGUUUUUAUAUAGCACUGCAUGAGCGCUGGAAGGGACUGAGUUUCUGCAGAAA